UACGGAGGGGGCUAGCGUUGUUCGGAAUUACUGGGCGUAAAGCGCGCGUAGGCGGCUUUGCAAGUUAGAGGUGAAAGCCCGGAGCUCAACUCCGGAACUGCCUUUAAGACUGCAUCGCUUGAAUCCAGGAGAGGUGAGUGGAAUUCCGAGUGUAGAGGUGAAAUUCGUAGAUAUUCGGAAGAACACCAGUGGCGAAGGCGGCUAACUGGUCCGGUUCUGACGCUGAGGCGCGAAAGCGUGGGGAGCAAACAGG
rnacentral:rRNA from 1 species